AAUAGAUACCGGGUAGUCCACGCCGUAAACGAUGGAUGCUAGCUGUAGGGGGUAUCGACCCCUUCUGUAGCGAAGCUAACGCGUUAAGCAUCCCGCCUGUGGAGUACGGCCGCAAGGCUAAAACAUAAAGGAAUUGACGGGGACCCGCACAAGCGGUGGAUCGUGUUCUUUAAUUCGACGAUAAACGGAGAACCUUACCAGGGCUUGACAUCCUUGGAAUUUCUGCGAAAGCAGUUAGUGCCUUUUGGAACCAAGUGACAGGUGAUGCAUGGCCGUCGUCAGCUCGUGUCGUGAGAUGUUUGGUUAAGUCCAUCAACGAGCGCAACCCUUAUGUUUAGUUGUAUUUUCUAAACAGACUGCCCGGUAACGGGGAGGAAGGAGGGGAUGAUGUCAGGUCAGUAUUUCCCUUACGUCCUGGGCUAGAAACACGAUACAAUGGCUAGUACAAUGCGCAGCGAAGCCGCGAGGUGGAGCAAAUCGCACCAAAGCUAGUCCCAGUUCGGAUUGGAGGCUGAAACUCGCCUCCAUGAAGUCGGAAUCGCUAGU
rnacentral:rRNA from 1 species